UAACUUGAGAGUUUGAUCCUGGCUCAGAACGAACGCUGGCGGCAUGCCUAACACAUGCAAGUCGAACGAAGCCUUCGGGCUUAGUGGCGCACGGGUGCGUAACGCGUGGGAAUCUGCCUCUUGCUUCGGAAUAACAGUUAGAAAUGACUGCUAAUACCGGAUGAUGUCUUCGGACCAAAGAUUUAUCGGCAAG
rnacentral:ncRNA from 1 species